GGAGGGGUGGCAGAGCGGUUGAAUGCAGCGGUCUUGAAAACCGCCAGGCGGCUGAGCCGUCUCGAGGGUUCAAAUCCCUCCCCCUCCGCCA
rnacentral:tRNA from 1 species